rnacentral:rRNA from 1 species
GACGAACGCUGGCGGCGUGCCUAAUACAUGCAAGUCGAGCGGACAGAUGGGAGCUUGCUCCCAGAAGUCAGCGGCGGACGGGUGAGUAACACGUGGGCAACCUGCCUGUAAGACUGGAAUAACUUCGGGAAACCGGAGCUAAUACCGGAUACGUUCUUUUCCCGCAUGGGAGAAGAUGGAAAGAUGGUUUCGGCUAUCACUUACAGAUGGGCACGCGGCGCAUUAGCUAGUUGGUGAGGUAAUGGCUCACCAAGGCGACGAUGCGUAGCCGACCUGAGAGGGUGAUCGGCCACACUGGGACUGAGACACGGCCCAGACUCCUACGGGAGGCAGCAGUAGGGAAUCUUCCGCAAUGGACGAAAGUCUGACGGAGCAACGCCGCGUGAACGAUGAAGGCCUUCGGGUCGUAAAGUUCUGUUGUUAGGGAAGAACAAGUACCAGAGUAACUGCUGGUACCUUGACGGUACCUAACCAGAAAGCCACGGCUAACUACGUGCCAGCCGCCGCUGUAAUAC